rnacentral:lncRNA from 1 species
CGCAAUCUGAUACAAAAAAAUAAAACAAAUCAACGCAAUCUCUCUCUCGAUGAACAACCUUCAGCCAUGAACAAACCCUCGCAGUCGUCCACCACCACCAUCGAUUGAACCCUCAGCAACCUCAAAACAACUCACCACCACCGCCUUAUCACUCGCAGUCGUCCUCUGUCUCUCUCACUCGUCAAAUCGAAGCUUCUCACUUGAACCCUAACUCCAAAUCGAAGCCUCUCUCCGCUCUCACGAAUUGAAACGAAUCGAAGCCUUUGCUCUCACGAAUCGAAGCUUGUCUUUCUCUUUCACUAUUGUCAAACCUUCAUCGAUUCAGGUACUCUUCUUUCUUUUUUAUUCCUUUUUAAAUAUUUUCCUUUUCUGUAUAUUCAUCAAUUUCUUUUUCUGUACUAGUAUACACGAAUUGAAGCUCUCUUUCGUCACGAAUCGAAGCUCUCCGACUGAAAACGCAAACAGG